rnacentral:misc_RNA from 1 species
UCUAGCCCAAAGGUCCAAAGUC